GGUCAAGUUAUUAAGGGUGCAGGGCGGAUGCCUUGGCACUAGGAGCCGAUGAAGGACGUGAUAAGCUGCGAUAAGCUUCGGGGAGUUGCACGUAAACUUUGAUCCGAAGAUUUCCGAAUGAGGAAACUCACUUAGAGUAAUGUCUAAGUAUCAUUAAGUGAAUACAUAGCUUAAUGAGGGGAACUCAGGGAACUGAAACAUCUAAGUACCUGAAGGAAGAGAAAGAAAUUCGAUUCCGUAAGUAGCGGCGAGCGAACGCGGAUUAGCCCAAACCAAUAAAGUUUUCUUUAUUGGGGUUGCGGACAUAUCAUAACGAAG
rnacentral:rRNA from 1 species